rnacentral:sRNA from 1 species
AGCAGCCGCGGUAAUUCCAGCUCCAAUAGCGUAUAUUAAAGUUGUUGCAGUUAAAAAGCUCGUAGUUGAAUUUCGGGGUCAGUAGGUCGGUCGUGCCACAGGUAUGCACUGGUCUCACUGAUUCCUCCUUCCUGAUGAACCGGAAUGCCAUUAAUUUGGUGUUGCGGGGAGACUGGACUGUUACUUUGAAAAAAUUAGAGUGUUUAAAGCAGGCUAACGCUUGAAUACAUUAGCAUGGAAUAACGGAAUAGGACGUUCGAUCUUAUUUUGUUGGUUUCUAAGAUUGACGUAAUGAUUAAUAGGGAUAGUUGGGGGCAUUAGUAUUCAAUUGUCAGAGGUGAAAUUCUUGGAUUUAUUGAAGACUAACUACUGCGAAAGCAUUUGCCAAGGAUGUUUUCAUUAAUCAAGAACGAAAGUUAGGGGAUCGAAGACGAUCAGAUACCGUCGUAGUCUUAACCAUAAACUAUGCCGACUAGGGAUCGGAUGAUGUUAAUUUUUAA